rnacentral:rRNA from 1 species
AGGACGAACGCUGGCGGCGUGCUUAACACAUGCAAGUCGAGCGGAAAGGCCCUUCGGGGUACUCGAGCGGCGAACGGGUGAGUAACACGUGAGCAAUCUGCCCUUAGCUUCGGGAUAGCCCCGGGAAACCGGGAUUAAUACCGAAUAUGACCUCGGCCGACAUCGGCUUUGGUGGAAAGUUUUUCGGCUAGGGAUGAACUCGCGGCCUAUCAGCUUGUUGGUGGGGUAAUGGCCUACCAAGGCGACGACGGGUAGCCGGCCUGAGAGGGCGACCGGCCACGACUGGGACUGAGACACGGCCCAGACUCCUACGGGAGGCAGCAGUGAGGAAUUUUCCGCAAUGGGCGAAAGCCUGACGGAGCGACGCCGCGUGUGGGAAGAAGGCCUUCGGGUCGUAAACCACUGUCGAAGGGGAAGAUAUUGACGGUACCCUUGGAGGAAGCCCGGCUAACUACGUGCCAGCAGCCGC